rnacentral:sRNA from 1 species
CAGACGUGACCGUCCCAUUGCCACUUUAGC